ensembl:lncRNA
CAAUGAAACAGCCGUUGCUGCACAGUCCCGCUAUUAGCCUUUUACGACACCGCAAAAUGCAUAUGUGAAUUUUGGCGACCAUCUAGAUCACUGGCAUUAUUUUAUCAUUACCACUGCCAGUGUUGAUGCCAGGUUGAUAGUGAAUGGUGGUUUCUUGGUAAAAGAUAGCAUUUUGGUAAUGUUGGUUGGUGUCUGAUGGACAAUUUUGGUGGUUGAUGGUGAAUAUUAGUGUUUGAUGGAGAAAUCCUGGUGUCCAGAUAGUACAUUUUUGUCAUCGAAAGUAGCUUUUUGCUGCCUUGAUGGUGAAGGUUGGUGUUUGUUGGUCGUGUGAGAAUUUAUGUGGUGAAUUUUGGUGUCUAAUGGAGAAUGGGGGUGUCUUGGUGUUUGUUGGUGUUUAUUGGUGUCUAAUGGAGAAUGGUGAUGUCUUGGUGUUUGUUGGUGUUUAUUGGUGUCUAAUGGAGAAUGGUGGUGUCUUGGUGUUUAUUGGUGUCUAAUGGAGAAUGGUGGUGUCUUGGUGUUUCUUGGUGUCUAAUGGAGAAUGGUGGUGUCUUGGUGUUUCUUGGUGUCUAAUGGAGAAUGGUGAUGUCUUGGUGUUUGUAGGUGUUUAUUGGUGUCUAAUGGAGAAUGGUGGUGUCUUGGUGUUUGUUGGCGUUAUUGUAUCUAAUGGAGAAUGGUGGUUCUUGGUGUUUGUUGGUGUCUAAAGAGAAUGGUAGUGUCUUGGUGUUUGUUGGCG